UACGUAGGGGGCAAGCGUUGUCCGGAAUCAUUUGUCGUAAAGCGCGCGUAGGCGUCCCUGUACGUCCGCUGUAAAAGUCAAAGGCUCAACCUUUGAAAGCCGGUGGAUACUGCAGGGCUAGAGUCCGGAAGAGGCGAGUGGAAUUCCUGGUGUAGCGGUGGAAUGCGCAGAUAUCAGGAAGAACACCAGUGGCGAAGGCGGCUCACUGGCCCGGUACUGACGCUGAGGCGCGAAAGCGUGGGGAGCAAACAGG
rnacentral:rRNA from 1 species